rnacentral:lncRNA from 1 species
UUUGGGAAAUUUAUCUAGAUUGAUUAAUAAAAGUGUUCAAGUAAAUACAAAUAAAUAAGUUGGAAUGGAAGUAAAUAAAGAAGAGUUAAGAUUGGGCCCCUUUUGGCCCAUUAAAAGUCCGUCCAGCUUUUGACAUGGGCUCAAUUUUCACUGCUGUAUAUCUAUUGUAUAUCAGUAGCUCCUUUCACUGCAUUUUUUGUAUUCCACUGCAUAUAUAGUGUAUAUCAGCGUGAAAUCCUGCUUAUUUUCCCUCCAUUUCAGUUGUGUACAGUAUAAGUGUGCAGCUUCUGCUUCCAAUGUAUAGCAGCCGUGUAUAAUUGUAUACCAGAUUGUAUACCAGUGUAUACCAGCUCUAUUGUGUGUUUGGUUGAGGCUUUGACUCGAUGGAAGUUGGUUUUAACCUGAUGGAAUGCGAUAGAUGGGAGUCCAAUGGAUUCAACAAGGGAGUCCAUGCAUAGAAAAAGAAAAAAGAGAUGAAUACUAGUGAUAGAGUAAAGAAAAUUAAUGUUAUGCUUAACGAAAAUUGAUAAAUACCACACGAAUUAUAUAUUGAAUAACCCGUAAAUGCAACCACACUAAAUGGAAACUUUGAACAAACUUCAGACAAAUAAAAUCAGAGUAGACCCCUUAGGGUUAGUAAAGGACAUAGCCUAAAUAAUACUAAAAAUCGUGUCCCUAAUCUUGUUAACAAAGGAUGCGGGGAGUGGCUACGCUGAGUAUAUAAGCUAAAGGUACAAAUAAGAUGUAACAAUGCUAUCUCUAAAUCGUUGAACCAAUUUUAUCAGAAAGUACAAUAUCUAGUCUUAUUCUUAGAGAAAAAAGGCAAAAUAUACUUAACACAAAGCAAUGAACAAGGACAUCCUAAAUAGCAUGGGGUAUAGACAAGAUGUUCAUUUGAUUAUCUUCAGGACUUAUAAAGCUACUUGCUAGUGUUGAAAAUUCUUACGAACAUCCAAGGAAUGCUUAAUUCGCAAUCCAAUAUGCGGACUUUGAGCCUAGAUCACCUGGGAAAAACUGUAUUGAAUUUUUUAUGGACUCAACUGGUCCCAAUUAUUAACUACUUUUAUCGCAUACUCAACCUAUAGAUCCAUACAUAUGCUAUAUAUUUUAACUAGGAGAAAACAAAGCAGCAUGUGGUAGUGCAUAAUAGACAGAAACCAAAGCAACUUUUAGCAAAUCUCAUAGUUUUUGUACCACUUUCAUCCCAAACCCACAAAGAUAUAUAAAAGGAUUAUCUCUAUUUAAAUGAGACAUGAUACAAUGUUAAUCAUCAAGAACAUGGCAGAGGGAACAUAAAGUAAUUAGGUCAACUACACGGUCAUGGCAGAUUCUAAUACGCAAUUCAACUAGUAGCUAAGCAAGAGCGGUAAUGUACUGCAUUUGAAUCUAAAAAAAAAUAGAAUGGAAUAGGAGACAAACAAUUACUAACCUUCUCCUAAGCAGCAAACUAAUAAGACGAGUCCAAAGAGCGAUUUCACCACUAACUUCGACUCUGUGUUAGCAGUGGGAUCAAAUUCGAAAAAAUAGGGCAAAGGAAAUAGAGAAUUUAGUGAAUGAGGGAGUGCGAUAAAACUCAAAUAUCCCCCAAUUUCUCUAUCCUCU